rnacentral:rRNA from 1 species
UACGUAGGGUGCGAGCGUUAAUCGGAAUUACUGGGCGUAAAGCGUGCGCAGGCGGUUAUGUAAGACAGAUGUGAAAUGCCCGGGCUUAACCUGGGAACUGCAUUUGUGACUGCAUGGCUAGAGUGUGUCAGAGGGGGGUAGAAUUCCACGUGUAGCAGUGAAAUGCGUAGAUAUGCGGAGGAACACCGAUGGCGAAGGCAAUCCCCUGGGCCUGCACUGACGCUCAUGCACGAAAGCGUGGGGAGCAAACAGG